GGCGGGCACAAAGCCGGGACCCCGCGGGUGGGGGAUGCUCUGCGGCUCCGUUACACGGCGCUGCCCGAGCACGACCACCCGUGCCCGAGCUCCUGGGAGGAGAAAGGCGUCCGUCCCCGGUAGAAGGGUGUGAGCGCCUUCUGUGACCCGGAGGACAAGGGCCGAGCUUCGGGCAGGGACGGGGCGCGAGGCGCAGAACGGUCCCACGUUGCUGCUGAGGUUGGAUUUCCCAAGGAAUAAUAAUAAUAAUAAUAAUAAAAAUAAAAGCUUCCCUGCCUCCAACCUGACAAAGUAAACAGGAUUAAUUCGCCAUGUGCAAAAACAUUAAUACCGUCCUCAGCGCGGAAAUCGGAAGGGAAAGCUGUUUUCGCAGCACCCACGAUAUUAACACACGAUCGUAGCAAUGCAAAGCCACUGAUACACACUCACACACCGCCGUGCCGCCGAUUGCUCGAGCAUUAAUGAAGAAUGCCCCGCAUUAACUAUUUGCUCUUCGAGGGAUGGAGCGGUGCAACUCUCCAUGAGCACCAUCCGCCGCUUUGCCAUUUGUUUGCGAGUGGGCUGAGGCAGAGCGGGCGAAGGGAAAAAUGAACUCAGGUUCAUUUUGCUAAAUCCUAUUUGAGACCCGAACGCCUCGCGAAGAAGGGGACAUUCUCCGCUGUCCUUCUCCGAGCCCCGUCACAAUAGAAAUGCUCUGUUUAGAAGUAAGGCUCUAUUGUUUUUAUUCCAAAUAAAUAAGCGCAUCCCUCCUGCCAUUUUACUGCAGAUGUAAAUUUAUUGUAAUGAGAGGGAGUGGAAGGAUUUAUUUUGCUAAAAUAGAGUUGGGGAUAGAGCCGGUGUAAAUCUUGGGGUUUUUUAAACAAGGAGGAAGAGAGGGAAGCUGCUUGCCUGGCAGAAAGCUGCCUUGCAGCCCUCUAAUUCUUUCUAGAUUAAAUCGCAAUAUGAAUAGAGCAUCGAACAAAUACCGAGUUUCGCUCUGAACUCAGUGGAAAGCAGUUACGUCUAACAGAAUUCAAUGAAUUCCUCUUCUCCCUCAAUGUAGUAUGUGUGUGUUUUUCUCUUCCACCACACUGAAGUUCCAUGAAUAGGGAAAGUGGCUCCUAUUGUGUGCCUCUGAACUUCCAAGUCAAUGCAAUUUUUAACCACUGGCUUGUGGUACUUUGAAAAUCACCAGGGGCUGUCAGAGUUGGGUCCUCUGAAAAAUUUACAGUGCUAAAUCAGAGCAUAUGCUGUGAGAGAGGAAAAAAAAUUGCUUAAGAUUGGAGCAAGUACAGUAUCUGGCUGCCCCCUAGUGUAAGUCUCUUAUCUGCCUAAAAUUCAACUUUAAAAGAAAAGGAUCUCUUAAAGGGAAACGACUUUUGGCUCACGUAUGCAUACGAGAAUGAAACUUCUGUACAUUUUAAUCUGAUUAAUUCCUAAGGAUUUAAAAUUAAUUGGCUUGGGCACUCCUAGACCGGACUAUAAGAUUUCUGCAUCAGGGUUCCUACCAGCCCUGUGCCGAAUAGGAACCGUGCCUCGCAUGCGGCUGUCAGAGCAAAACACUUUUGCUGCUUAAACUCAGAUCUGCGCCUUUUGCCGUAAUAAAGCAAGGAUAAAUAAUUGCCAUAAAGCCUCCGCCGCGCCGCCAACCACACCUUCGGAGGAGGGAUGCUCGCAGCUGUGGAUGCCCUCCCCCGGUUCACCCCGGCCCCCAGAUGCCUCCUCACAGUGGAUGAUCUCGAAAGAAGGCAGAAAUAUGUGACCUGCUGAGCGAGGUGGGUACUUUUUGAGACGAACUACCACAAGACAGUGUGCUUAUGGGGACCAAACAUGUGAAGACAGAGUUGAUGGAUCUGGAGCCCUGACUGCUGCCCGGCAAUGGCUCAACAUGGACUGCUCUCAUCCUGGCUGCUCUUCAACAGUACUUUGAACUGCAUGAAGACUUAAGAACCAAGCCAACAGCAAGAGCAUGACCAAGAAUCUGAGAAUCAAGCCCACACCAAGUGCGUGAAAAAGUGUUUACUCCUCUUCCAGACCAUACCUGAAACAUGGCGUGAAGUUUCAUUCUCUUCUUCUGCAGGUAUACCAGUUUAAUGCAAUUAAUCAAGAUAGUAGGGAUUAAACAGUAACUCAGAGCUGAACACGACAAUGUUAUCAAUUCCAUGGUGCAAAAGGGCUGGGAGAAAAUGACUGUGGUGACUAGAAGCACUAUGGGCAAGGACAAGCUGACUGGAGUUUUGGGUGGGUUUCAGAGGUUUGUAUUGAUCUAUUGAAAUUUAAGAGUUGUUGAUUUUUCACGUGGCCAAGCAGUUACCCGCCUUGCCCUUUCCUUUCCCCUCGCAGACCCUCCAGGGUAAUCCCCCCGAGUGGCAGCAACUCUUAAAGCGAUUCCUCUCUCUUCUAACAGGUUCCUGAUGCCAAAGGUCUGACCUUACAAUGAGCAGCACACGGGGUGAGACCGGGCACUGCACUGAGCUUCACACACAGCUAUUUUGGUAACCAGAACAGUGUAGUCAGGAUAGUACAAGCACAAGCACAGUGAAGGAUUUAUCAACAUAUUAACUCUGUCAGUGCUGUGUCCCUGUACAGGUUCCUGUGUCUAUUUCAGAUCAUAAACUCAGGCUUGAAGAAAUCUUUGUCUGCAGGAGAGGCUCAGCCUGGCUUACUGCCACACCACUGCCCUUGUUAAUCCACAUACUUCCAGCCCUGAUGCACUGGGACCACCACUGCCGGCCAAUUUCUAGCAAAAUCUUGUUGCCUAGAUCCUGCCAACAACCAGGGAAUAAGCGCAAGCCAGCAGAGAAAAUGAACGACCAGAAGUACCAGGAUCCUGCCAUCCUAUCCUCUGCUGUCAGGUUGGGGUCACAAUUGCCAUUUGGAGAAGCUUCCAUGGAGAUGUGAACAGAAUAUGAAUACAAUUCUGUGAUUACUUCAAAAUCUUUGGGAAUGAUGGAAAUUCUGUUGAUUCCAGCCUCUGCUUUUCAUUAUGGAAGAUAUUUGUGCAACAGGUUUGCUGAAGAUGGAACACUAAUGAAAUGGGUAAUUUCAUAAACACACUGGGGAGGGUAAGUGUCCAACAGAAAAGAAGUCAAGCAGAAAUUAGUCUGCUUGAAACAAACAAACUAAGGAAUGCCUGCUAAAGAGUCAUGAAUUUCUUUAUAACACUUUUUUUCCCUAAAUCACCUACAGAAACUCUGCAGCUGAAGAUGCUUUGAUAGCAGUUAUGAUCAGAACACCAGUACUUCUCAUACGUGAAAUACAACAUUGGGAAGGAUUUUUUCGCUCCUCAAAUCACUCUUCUGAGGCUUUAUAUCAAUCCCAAGCAAUUUGCCUGGCCAUUUCUAUGAUAAAAUAGGUGUUUUUAUCCAUUUAGAAGAGCAAUAAAACUAAGGAAAAUUCAGGCAGAACAUGCUCUUUCUUUAAAGCUUCAACUCAUAGUAAGAAUCUGGUUUGUGCUGUACUUCUCUCAUGAACUCAACUUUCCAUAGUGCAUUAAGUGUUGUAAUAAUGCAAAUCAAAUACAAAUUUUAAUAACUCCUUCCAUUAAAAUGAUCUAUUAAAGUUU